CCGGAGGGAAGGCGGGGAUGACGUCAAGUCCUCAUGGCCCUUAUGUCCAGGGCUACACACGUGCUACAAUGGCCGGUACAAAGGGUAGCAAGACCGCGAGGUGGAGCCAACCCAAAAAGCCGGUCUCAGUUCGGAUUGGAGUCUGCAACUCGACUCCAUGAAGUUGGAAUCGCUAGUAAUCGUGGAUCAGCAUGCCACGGUGAAUACGUUCCCGGGCCUU
rnacentral:rRNA from 1 species